UGGGGAAUAUUGCACAAUGGGCGAAAGCCUGAUGCAGCGACGCCGCGUGAGGGAUGACGGCCUUCGGGUUGUAAACCUCUUUCAGCAGGGACGAAGCGCAAGUGACGGUACCUGCAGAAGAAGCACCGGCUAACUACGUGCCAGCAGCCGCGGUAAUACGUAGGGUGCAAGCGUUGUCCGGAAUUACUGGGCGUAAAGAGUUCGUAGGCGGUUUGUCGCGUCGUUUGUGAAAACCAGCAGCUCAACUGCUGGCUUGCAGGCGAUACGGGCAGACUUGAAUACUGCAGGGGAGACUGGAAUUCCUGGUGUAGCGGUGAAAUGCGCAGAUAUCAGGAGGAACACCGGUGGCGAAGGCGGGUCUCUGGGCAGUAACUGACGCUGAGGAACGAAAGCGUGGGUAGCGAACAGG
rnacentral:rRNA from 1 species